rnacentral:lncRNA from 1 species
UUUGUUCAGUCCAGAGAAGGUGAGGCCUCAUUGUGGCCUGCAGCUCCCUCAUGAGGGCAGCGGAGGGGCAGGUGCUGAGCUCUGCUCUCUGGGGACAGCAUAUAUUUAUAUAUACAUAUAUAUGCAAAUGAAUAGCACAAUAAUAGCAGAAAACCAUAGAAGAACAGCCGUAAAUCAAAGGCACUUUCUUCAGCAGCCCCAUGACGUGGUCCCUUUUCCUCCCCACCUUGCUAACCCCGGCAUGGAGUGGGAAUGGCUGUCACUUCCUGCCACACAAACAGAUUCACAGGCUUAAUUAACACUGGAAAGUUUGUUCAGCUAAUUACGAAUGCAGCACAAAUGGCUCACACCCACACCCUCCCACCGUCUUUUCCACCAGCUGGACACUCCAUUCCAGCUGAAGCUGCCUUUGAAGCUGACACAAAUCUGACAUCCAGCAGAAUGCAUAUAAGCACCAGGGGGAUAUUUGCUAGCCUCAAGACACUGCUGUUGUCCUGAUGCCUAUUCAGACCCUAGCAGAAGUUCAGCACAGCAGGAGUCACCAAACACCAAGUGAGCAAAGUCCAUAAACAGUUGCACAGCAUGGGAAACCCUUACUGAAAAGUUAAGAGAAGAGCUGUGAACAUCUGGCAUCACAGGCAGCACUAUGAAUGCUCUGUAUUUGUAUUGCAUAUAUGCACAGCAGUGAUUGCUUAACAGAUUGCUCCACAGCCUCCUGCCAAGUAAACACCCAGCAGCAGUAAAGGACUUCUGUUGGAGCUUUCCAGGAUAACAGUCCCUAUGCAAUGGAGCAUUGCUGUGGCAGCUUUUCAUCCAGUGACCCCCUCUCCUGCAUAGUGGAGGAGCCUACUCUACUCUUCAGGUAAGGUACCUCUGGAGCCUGCACUGGGAACAGAGGACCUCUAGAGCGGAUGCAAACAACUGUUCCCAUCCCAAGGCUUUUUCUCUCACCGCUGAAACAGGAGAGAGCAGUGUUACAGCUGCCUGGUCCCCUUCCCACUUCCCAGUCCCUGGUGACAUGUGCGGUGCUCUCAACUCAUACUCAGCAGCACCAUAGUGGAACACCACCACAUAGCUGUCCUUCAGUGACCUAGACUAAAAAAACACCUACUCAUGCUGGGCAUUCGACCCAGCCACCUACCAGCCACCUCCCGUGAGUGCCACAGUUCUGCCUGCAGAGGAAAUUAUGCAAACAAUCUGAGAGAGAAAACAAAAUGAUCUAUAUAUAUAUAUAUGCAUAUAUAUGUAAUAUUCUUUUAAUUAUAACAACUACUUUGUUAAAUAGCCUGAAUCUGAAAUGUGGGAAUCGGCAGGUGUUGUGGCUUUUUUUUUUUUUUUAUCUUUUUUUAUGUAUCUAUGUGUUUAAAACAUCAACUGAAAGCUGAAAUGUCUCACGCACUUUGGUAGGAGCUGAACUUUGUAUUUGACAUAUCGUAUACAUUUUCCACUGUUUACCAACCCUGGACUUGGUUUGUCUGUAAAUAAAUCGAUCAGUAAUGAAUUGUUAUUUUUUUCC